AUUGAACGCUGGCGGCAGGCCUAACACAUGCAAGUCGAACGGUAACAGGAAGCAGCUUGCUGCUUUGCUGACGAGUGGCGGACGGGUGAGUAAUGUCUGUGAAACUGCCCGAUGGAGGGGGAUAACUACUGGAAACGGUAGCUAAUACCGCAUAACGUCGCAAGACCAAAGAGGGGGACCUUAGGGCCUCUUGCCAUCGGAUGUGCCCAGAUGGGAUUAGCUAGUAGGUGGGGUAACGGCUCACCUAGGCGACGAUCCCUAGCUGGUCUGAGAGGAUGACCAGCCACACUGGAACUGAGACACGGUCCAGACUCCUACGGGAGGCAGCAGUGGGGAAUAUUGCACAAUGGGCGCAAGCCUGAUGCAGCCAUGCCGCGUGUAUGAAGAAGGCCUUCGGGUUGUAAAGUACUUUCAGCGGGGAGGAAGGGAGUAAAGUUAAUACCUUGGCUCAUUGACGUUACCCGCAGAAGAAGCACCGGCUAACUCCGUG
rnacentral:rRNA from 1 species